UACGAAGGGGGCUAGCGUUGCUCGGAAUUACUGGGCGUAAAGGGAGCGUAGGCGGACAUUUAAGUCAGAGGUGAAAUCCCGGAGCUUAACUUCGGAACUGCCUUUGAUACUGAUGUCUUGAGUGUGAGAGAGGUAUGUGGAACUCCGAGUGUAGAGGUGAAAUUCGUAGAUAUUCGGAAGAACACCAGUGGCGAAGGCGACAUACUGGCUCAUUACUGACGCUGAGGCUCGAAAGCGUGGGGAGCAAACAGG
rnacentral:rRNA from 1 species